ensembl:lncRNA
GGUCUCGAUCUCCUGACCUCGUGAUCCACCCACCUCAGCCUCCCAAAGUCCUGGGACUACAGGCAUGAGCCACCGCGCCCGGCCACAAUGAUUUUUUAAAGUACAUGUAAGUUCAAUAGGUACAGGUGAGCUGGACAGACUAUGGGGUUUUUGAAUCUAGUUUUUUAGACAUUCUUAGUAUUAGGCAAGUAAGUAUGUGGCCUAUAGAAUUUGUAACAUAAUCUCAUCAGAAAAACAAAGAAAAAGGUGAUUAAAUGUGCCUUGGAGUCAGCUGUGUCCAGCUGUCACCAGCCAGUACUACAUAAAUCCAAGCCAAUAGGCAAAUCUGAGCAGUGUACUUCUCUUACAGAAGAUUAUUUCAAACACGGGCAUAAACACCAUUGCAAUUGGUUACAGUCAAGGUUUAGCUUUUAGCUUAAAGUGGAUCCUGUACAUUUUUAAACCUGAGAGUUGGAAUAGAGCACCCUGACAUCGGACAGCUUGAAUGUGUAUUUCAUCUGGUGCUGCUUCCUGCACGUAAUAGAAUAAGUAGGGAAAUGCUCUCUACACAGGUGACCCAUUUCGUAGCAAAUCCUCUGCAUGGAAAUGAGAUCCCCAGCUUUACCAAGCAGCUGCGGUGCUCCCAGGCAGACCCACACACAGCACCACAGUUCUUCAAGUUCCUGCUAGAGGCAAUUUGGUUAAACCCUCACAGAUCAUCCACCCUGAUAAGCAUCAUUUUGAAAAUAGAUUUGGUUACCAAGAUGCGAAAUAAUCAUUCAAUGCAUAACCACUUGUAGAGCACAUGGAGAAUGUGCUUGAGGUACAUUUACAUGUGCAUCCGUAUCAUCUCUUUCCACUCCCUGAUAUAGGUAUUUUCAUGCCCAGUGUAUACAAUGGAAAACUGAGGUUCACAAGCAUGAUCCACCUCUGGUGCCUCACCUGGUGCAAAGUCGAGCCAGCACGCAAUUCUGUAUCAGAAGCAUCCUAAUCCAGUGAGGCUUGUGCCACGGAAAAACUAAAUGUGUCCCUUGCGCCUCUAACAGGCAGGAGCUUCACUAUCUUAGAAUGUUUUUAUUCCUUCGUAAGCACACAAGGGUUUCAAUAGUAAGAAAUAAAACACAUGAUUGUUUCUGACAACUAAACUGCACGUUAUAAAGGGAGCUGGAUAUUUUAAACAGCUUAACCAGAAAUUGAUUGCAUCUUAUUUUUAAAAGAUUAAUGCACUGCUUUCCUAAAACAUAAUUUUAUUCCCUUGCAAAUCUCUUCUGCAGUUCUUGUCAUCAAUCUCAUAAAUGGUCCUCUUCUUUACUUUGGAAGAAUGGCCCAGGUUGUGAGUCCUGUAGAUGGGAUGCUGGGAAUAUAGGAUGCUACCAAGCAUGAGAAACGAUUUUUUGGAGUCUUCUUCAGGUUAAAUAGAAUUCCUGUCUUGUGGCCAAGUGCGGUGGCUCACGCUUGUAAUCCUAGCACUUUGGGAGGCCGAGGUAGGCGGAUCACCUGAGGUCAGGAGUUAGAGACCAGCCUGGCCAUGAUGGCAAAACUCUGUCUCUACUGAAAAUGCAAAAAUUAGCCAGGCAUGAUGGUGCAUGCCUGCAAUCCCAGCUACUCGCGAGGCUGAAGCAGGAGAAUCGCUUGAACCCAGGAGGUGGAGGUUGCAGUGAGCCAAGAUCGUACGACUGCCCUCCAGCCUGGGCAACACAAUGAGAUUCCAUCUCAAAAAAAAAAACAAAAACAAAAAAAA